AUUUCAUCCCCUUUCACGAAGUUUUAACUUUUACCAUAUACAGUAGUUUCUUCAUACUUAUUGAGAGAUCCCCAAAUGUUAUUUCAUCAAUAAUGGACAUAUAAGUUUCUGGAGAGUUUGAAAUGAGAUUUGUCCAUCGGCAAGGAGUGCUAGCCCAGGGAACAGAAAAAGUUUUGCUCAUUUAGUUAAACUACAUGAGUACAGGUAACAGAAAAAGACUGCCCAAGUAUUGCUCAUUCAGUUUCACAGGUAACAAAAAAUAAUUUCCCAGAAGUGCAACAUAUGUCUGUAAUAGAAGUUUUGCCAAAAUCUAAAGAACCCCUUAAAUGGUCUUAUCUGCAUAUUCUUUUGAACUUAUGAUUCACUCCAAUUGAUGCAUUUGCCAGAAGAUUUCCUGUGUAUUUUUUAUAAACUUGAAUGUAAGUCUACAUCUGUCUGGUGCUUUUGAAAAAUCCAUUUCGUGCUGUUGGGAUGUAUAAAUGUAUUGGUAAGUGUCAUCAUUCAUGAGCCAUGUAUGUAAAAUGGGUAGAAUGGAAGAUGUAAUAUGUUCCUUUAACUGUUGUAAAUACAUACAGUAUUUAUAUGGCUGUCUAGUGAUUUUCUACUUCACAAUGCCUAGAGAGUGCUAUCAAUAAUUUGGGUUGGUCUAUCAAUGGUUUUUUUGAUAAAGGUUGGUCUAUCAAUGUGAUCCAGCAAAAUUAUGUGGCUUGAUUAUUGAGACCACAAGUUUGGCAUUCCUUAUGGAACGUCCCUUGGUGACAUCUGUCAUUCCCAUUUGAAUGACAUCAAACUCUAUGUGCUCUGCCACCACGACCACAGCCUCUAAGACUGAGCAGAAAAUCUCCAUUGAACAAAGCCUAAACACGAAGCCUCUCGAAAAACCCUCAUUGCUUUUCUUUUAAAUCUUAUACACAUUUCCUUACUUGGCUUUACAAUAGGAUUCCAUAUGCACAAGACCGAAAGGUUCUCUUAGUUGAUAUUUUCUUCGGGUAUACACUAUAUGGAUGGAAAUACUGGGAUAGGAUGUGAUUAUUAGGGAUGGCAAUGGACCGGUUCGGACCGGAUAUUAGAAAUAUCAUACCCGAACCAAUAAGAAAACUAAUAAUUUUGGACCCGAAACCGGACCCUAUCGGGUCCGAAAGUAAGGAACCAUACCCGUACCAAAUCUUAUCGGGUUGGAUUCGGGUAUUUUGACCAUAAAUUGAUAUGUCAAAAUUAUGUAUACAAAUUUAGAAAAAAAUGAGUUACUUUUUAAGAAUCUAGAUAUAUUUAGUAAAUAUAUAAUCAAGUAUACAAAUAUAGUAUAUGAUUUUAUUUAUUUCUAUAUUUUUAAUGUAAUUGCAUAUACUUAUAAGGUAAUUAGUAUUAAAAAAUUUAUUUACAAAAAUCAAAUUUCUAAAAUUUAAGAUUUUUAUGCUAUGUUAAUAAUGGUAGUGAAUCUAAAAUAUUCAAAACCUCAAAAUAAUUUAUAUCGGGUCCAUAUCGAUUCGGUAUCUACUAAUUCCAAACCCGAUCCGAUAACAAUCAGGUCCUAAUUUUAAAAACCAGACCCGUACCAAUACAUAAAAAUACAAUAGCAAACCCGUUCUUAUCCGGACGGAUCGGACCGGGUUUCGGGUCUAACCCGUACCAUUGCCAGCCCUAGUGAUUAUAUACGGAGUGUUUUAAACUAAGAUCGGAAAAAGUUCAGUGUUACGUUUAUGGACUUUGACUUAGUUUCUUAUUAGUUCUCGAAUAGUGUUUCUUAACUUGUUAUGAUGACUAUGUUCUAAAGUUGUCAAUUGUGAAUUUGUGCUGCAUCAAACUUUUGAUGCAUUUAGAGCCAACUUAUACAUUUGUAAAUUGUGCUGCAUCAAACUUUUGAUGACUAGAUAGGCCGUCUUACAGUAACGCUCCAAGAUUUCGUCCUCGCUUAUCUAGAAGUGUCGAGCACUAUACCGCUCGCUAAUGUCAAUAUUAUCCAGUAUAGGGUUUUGGAUCAGGGCCCACUCAUGGAUCACUGCGGAUAUCCAAGCACUCAGAUACCGAGAAAGUUUAGGUGAUCCUCGGAAUGUGGAAUGGGUGAUAAGUUCGGAGUUGGGUGGUUAUCUAAUAAUAAUUUAAUGUUUUGAAUGAAUUUCAUGUCGGGAAAAGGACGUGGUCAAGUAUAUCAGCUGACUCAGGACCAGAUGAAUCAGCUGUUGCUAGCAUUAGCAGGCAACAAUGGGGGUAAUGGUGAUCCUUUUGCUAAGAGGAACAAGGAUUUCCUCAAUCUGGGCGGUAUAAAAUUCGAUGGUAAGGGUGACGGGAAGGCUGUAGUGUUAUGGCUUCGACAGACAGAAGCAAUGUUUGCAAAGAUGGUAUUGACUGAAGAUCAGAAGUAGGAGUUCGCUGCGGAUAUCCAAGUACUCAGAUACCGAGAAGGUUUAGGUGAUCCUCGAAAUGUGGAAUGGGUGAUAAGUUCGGAGUUGGGUGGUUAUCUAAUAAUAAUUUAAUGUUUUGAAUAAAUUUCAUGCCGGGAAGAGGACGUGUUCAAGUAUAUCAGCUGACUCAAGACCAGAUGAAUCAGCUGUUCCUAGCAUUAGCAGGCAACAAUGGGGGUAAUGGUGAUCCUUUUGCUAAGAGGAACAAAGAUUUCCUCAAUCUGGGCGGUAUAAAAUUCGAUGGUAAGGGAGACGAGAAGGCUGUAGUGUUAUGGCUUCGACAGACAGAAACAAUGUUUGCAAAGAUGGUAUUAACUGAAGAUCAGAAGCAGGAGUUCGCUUCCCAUCAGUUGGAGGGUGGAGAAUUACUUUGGUGGGACGCUUUGAAGGUCGGGCUUGACCUCACCACUCUGACUUGGGAAGAGUUCAGGCACACUUUUGAGGGGGGAUAUCUUUCGAGUGCUUACAGAGAUCGACUAGUGGAUGAAUUUCUAAAUCUGAGACAGGGUACUAUGACUGUAGCUGAGUACACGAAUAGAUUCAAUGAGUUGUCCAUGUUUGCUCCGCAUAUGGUGGAUACAGUCGAGAAGAGAAAUCGUCGUUUCAUUAAGGGCCUAGGGCAUUAUGUGUCGAAGCAACUGAUUCUAUUUGAGCACGAGCCAUUUGAUAGAGUCCUGAACCUCGCAAUGAAGUAUGAGGAGAAGAAACAAGAGUUUAGAGCAGAAAAGAGCAAGAAGACAGGUGAUAACUCCAGAGACAAGAACCGACACAAGCCAUAUGAUCCUAACUUCAGGGGUUGACGUUAUGACAGCAACCCAAAGAGGAACCAAAGUUACAACAGGCCACCGGGAGAUAACCAGGGUUUCAGACACCGUGGUGGGCAUUGGCGUGGUGACAACAGAGCUAGAGCAGGCGCACCACCACCACCACCAGGGCAACCUGCCCCAGAUUUGCCUUACAGGCCAGCUUAUUUACCGUUACCAGCGCCAGCAGGGCCGAUCAGAGGUAACUGUUGGAACUGUGGAGGACCAGAAAAUCGUUCUGCUGAGUGUCGUCGACCAGUGAACAACAACCAGGGGAGGCCAGCACAUCAGCCAAAUUGAGGGAGAGUCUAUGCUGUUUUACCUGCAUUUCAGGGACUGGAAGGUAAUUUUGAUUGUUCACAGUUUAGAUUCUGAGUAUUAUUUGAUUAUGGGGCAUCACAUUUAUUUAUAGCUAAGUAGAUAGUAGAUAAGUUUCAGAUUGUGACUACACAUUUACCCCAGCCUUUAUAUCUUCGGACACCCAUGGGAGGUUCGACUUGUUUGUUCUACCAGUGUAAGAUCUUCAUUCUGUUAUUCAUGGGUAGACAGUUUGUUAUCGAACUGGUUGUUUUAGAUUUUGAGGGCUAUCAGUUCAUUUUGGGUUUUGACUGGUUAAGAGUCGUUAUCAUGUGAUUUUGGAUUGUGCUGGGAGGAGAGUUAGGAUACACCAUGUUUUCCCACAUUGGUACACAGUUGUGUUAGUAGAGAUGAUUCGAUUAUGUCCAGUUUUUUUAUGUCUAUGGUUGCCCAGUCGAUCGAUUUUUGUGAUGUGGCGAUAGUUAAGGAUUAUCUAGAUGUGUUUGAGGAGAUUCCCGGUUUACCACCCAAGAGAGAGGUGGAGUUUCGUAUUGAUUUGUUGCCAGGAAGGGCGCCUAUUUCUAAGACUGCUUACAGGAUGGCACCUAAGCAACAGGAAGAGAUGAAGACCCAGUUGGAGGAGUUACUUAAGAAAGGGUAUGUGAUAUUUGAUGUUUUAUUUGAUUUGGUUUACUCUUUUGGUAUAUAUGUGUGAGCCUUUUGAGGUGUGUAUGAACCACAUGUUCAUAUGUCCAAGCAAUUCUCCAUGGGGAGCUCCAGCUAUCUUUGUUUCUAAGAAGGAUGGGACUUUGAGGAUCUGCAUUGAUUACCGUGACCUGAACAAGGUGACAAUCAAGAACAAAUAUCUACUGCCGAGAAUAGAUGAUUUGUUUGAUAAGUUGAAAGGAGCAGUCGUGUUUUCUCAGUUUGAUUUGAGGACGGGUUACCUUCAGAUGGGUGUAAAGGAGAAGACUAUACCACUAACUACUUUCAGAACUCGAUAUGGAUUGUAUGAGUUUUUAGUGUUGCCUUUUGGGUUAACUAAUGCUCCAACAUUUUUCAUAGAUUUGAUGAACCAGAUUUUCAGGCCUUAUCUUGAUAGGUUUGUGAUCGUAUUCAUUGAUGAUAUUUUGGUGUACUCUAAGGGUGCUCAGGAGCAUGCAAAACACUUGAAGACAGUGUUGCAGAUAUUGAGGGAUCACAUGCUAUAUGCUAAGUUCACCAAAUGACAUUUCUAAAAGAAUUAAGUGCAUUUCUUAGGUCACGUGAUAUCCAGAGAGGUGAUUGUCGUUGACCCUGAGAAGGUUGCUGCAGUUAGGGAUUAGAAACACCAACCAACUCUACAGAGAUUCAAAGCUUUUUGGGUUUAGCUAGACAUUAUCGUCGUUUCAUUGAGAAGUUCUCACUCAUAGCUGAGCCAUUGACCAGACUUACGAGGAAGAAUGUGAAGUUCUUGUGGAUUGACGAUUGCGAGAGAGCUUUCCAGGAGCUUAUGCAGAGGUUGACUACAUCUCCAGUGUUAGUUAUACCGGUUAGAGGAGGCAAGCUGGUGGUAUUCACAGAUGCCACUGGUAGAGGACUUGGUUGUGUUCUGAUGCAAGAUGAGAGAGUGGUUUCUUAUGCUUUUAGACAGUUGAAGCAACAUGAGCGAAGAUAUCUAGUGCAUGAUUUAGAAUUGGCAGCUGUGGUAUUUGCUUUGAAGAUUUAGCGUCACUAUUUAUACGGAGAGAAGUUUGAUCUUUACACCGACCACAGGAGUCUGAAGUACUUGUUCUCUCAGAAGGACUUGAACAUAUGAGGCAACAGAGAUGGAUGAAGUUCAUUAGCAGUUAUGAUUUUCAGAUUCAGUAUCCGCCUGGGAAGGGUAAUGUUGUUGCAGAUGCACUGAGUAGGAAACAUGCCACCGUUGCUAUGAUGAUGAUGGAGGAGUGGAAAUCUUUGGAGACAAUAACGUCUCAUGAUGUGUACUUGCAGCAGGGAGGUGAACAGGUCACCAUUUGUUCUAUGGAGGUGAAGCCUAUGAUGAUUAGCUUGAUUGUGUCUAAGCAGCAUGAGGACCCUUUCUUGCACCGAAAGCUUGGGCAGUUAGUUGUGGAUUUGGACAGUUACUAACAAAACUGUGUACCGUUGUGGGUAAACCUUGUAUAUCCACUAUAACUCUCUUCUCAGCACAAUCCAAAAUCACAUGAUAACGACUCAACCAGUCAAAACCCAAAAUGAACUGAUAGCCCUCAAAAUCUAAAACAACUAGAUCAAUAACAAACUGUCUACCCAUGAAUGUCAGAAAGAAAGUUCUUACACUGGUAGAACAAACAAGUCGAACCUCCAACGGGUGUCCGAAAAUAUAAAGGUUGGGGUAAAGGUGUAGUCACAAUCUGAUACUUAUCUACUAUCUACUUAGCUAUAAAUGAAUGUGAUUCACCAGAAUCAAAUAAUACUCGGAAUCUAAACUGUGAACAAUCAAAAGUACCUUCCAGUCCCUAAAAUGCAGGCAAACCAACAUAGGCUCUCCCCCAAUUUGGCUGAUGUGCUGGCCUCCCCUGGUUAUUGUUUACUGGUCGACGACACUCAGCAGAACGAUGUCCUGGUCCUCCACAGUUCCAACAGUUACCCCUGAUCGGCCUUGCUAAUGCUGUUGGCGAUGUUAACGGUAAAGGUGCUGGCCUGUAAGGCAAACCUGGGGAAGGUUGCCCUGGUGGUGGUGGUGGUGGUGGUGCGCCUACUCUAGGUCUGUUGUCACCACGCCCAUACCCACCACGGUGUCUAAAACCCUGGUUAUCUCCUGGUGGCCUGUUGUAACCUUGGUUCCUCUCUGGGUUGUUUUCAUAACGUCGACCCCUGAAGUUAGGAUCAUAUGGUUUGUGUCGAUUCUUGUCUCUGGAGUUAUCACAUGUCUUCUUGCUCUUCUCUGCUCUAAUCUCCUGUUCCUUCUCCUCAUACUUAAUUGCGAGGUUCAGGACCUAAUUAAAUGGCUCGUGCUCAAAUAGAAUCAGUUGCUUCGACACAUAGUGCCCUAGGCCCUUAAUGAAACGAUGAUUUCUCUUCUCGACUGUAUCCAUCAUAUGCAGAGCAAACAUGGGCAACUCAUUGAAUCUAUUCGUGUACUCAGCUACAGUCAUAGUACCCUGUCGCAGAUUUAAAAAUUCAUCCACUAGUCAAUCUCUGUAAGCACUCGAAAGAUAUCUCCCCUCAAAAAUGUGUCUGAACUCUUCCCAAGUCAUAGUGGUGAGGUCAAGCUCGAUCUUCAAAGCGUCCCACCAAAGUAAUGCUCCACCCUCCAACUGAUGGGAAGCGAGCUCCUACUUCUGAAAUUCAAUUAAUACCAUUUUUACAAACACUGCUUCUGUUUGUCGAAGCUAACUGCAGCCUUCCCAUCUCCCUUACCAUCGAAUUUUAUACCGCCCAGAUUGAGGAAAUCUUUGUUCCUCUUAGCAAAAGGAUCACCAUUACCCCCAUUGUUGCCUGCUACUGCUAGCAACAACUGAUUCAUCUUGUCCUGAGUCAGCUGGCAGACUUGACCACGUCCUCUUCCCGCCAUGACGACCUUCAUUCAAAACAUUAAAUUAUUAUUAGAUAACCACCCAACUCCGAACUUAUCAUCCAUUCCACAUUCCGAGGAUCACCUAGACCUUCUCGGCCUAAGUUAACCAAUAGCCCUGAUACCAUGGAUCAUCACACCUUGUCCUCUAGCUUGUACCUUUGCCAGGACAUGUUUAGUAUUGGAUUUAGCUACUGUCCACUACCACUCUUUAUAGUUUCUUAAUAGACAAUGGAUUAGAAGCUUCCCACAGGAAUAAUUUCUCUUUUUCUGAUUACCUUUUUGCCGACAUAAUAAAAAUCGGUGGUCCCUAUUGUUUUUACGAAGCAAUUUGGUGAUCUGUUUUUAUGUGCGGGAUACAAUUAAAGUAGAAAAAAAAGGAUUUAACUCUUUUUUGAGUGGUUCAAAAUAAAAAGUUAGUUUAAAUGUUCCUCGGGUGGAUAUGAGCCUUGUUAAUAUUUGAUCAUUUAUUUUUUUUAUAUUUUUUGAAUAAUCAAUACUUAAUAUGAACAAGGAAUCCAGCUCCAGUUGAGCCUUUAAACAAGCAGGAAUAGUAAAAAAAAAAGGAAGGGGAACUAUCUGGCUUUUAUCUGCAUGCUUUGCAAGAAUAUGAGCAGAAGAGUUCCUAGACCUGUUACAAUAAUUAAAGCAUACAAAUCAAAUAAGCUACAAGUAGAAAGAAUCAUAUCCAAGAGAUUGGUUGCAGUCCACGAUAGGUUGUGUAACACCCAUGAGUUGGUGUUAGUCCCACAUUGCCUAGUAAGUGGUUGUUUCGGUAGUAUAUAGAGCUUAACCGUACUCUAACUAAUGUCAAGGCCUUUUGGGGUAAACCACAUGGGUGGGCCCUGAUCCAAAACCCUCUACUGCUGGAUAUCAGCAGUGAUUAAAGGGGGACAAUAUUGACAUUAACGAGCGGUAUGGUGCUCGACGCACCGGGAUGAGCGAGGACGAAAUCUCGGGGCGUUACAGGUUGGUUGGUUUACUGUGAGGUAGUUUGCUGCACUCAAACAGUCGGUUUCAAUUUCCACUCCUUUGUUGUUGUCGGAUGCAUCUUGUACAGGCCGGUAGUUUCCCCAAUCUUUCAUGAACAUAAAUUGUAGGUUCAUUUAUUGUUAGAUUUUCUUGCUUCUACAGGUAAUUUCAUGGACCUUUUUCCUUUAUAAAAUUGUACUCUAUGCAUUUAUGUUGAUCUGUUGUACAUGACACUUAUUUGUUCAUAUUAUACAGAAGCAAUGCAUGUUAAUCUUCUUACACAUCUUGAAUCUAUUUUGUCUAACGUUUUGCAGGCAGUUUUGUCUCAAAGUGAUUACUCCACGGACGACAUACUAAACACCAUGAGUCCUAGACAAUGAUUGGGAGCUUUAGCAAACUGUAAAGUGUAAGCAUACAAGAGUUCCUUUAUGGAAUUAUAGAUAUGUUCUUUUUUACAAUAGCAAAAGGUUGUUAUGCUGGAACAUUAGAAUUAGAACAAUGUAUCUUCCUGAGGAUUCAAUAUGAAAUAGACAUGAUAUAUGCAGAAGCACACUGAUAAACACGUAUAUUAGAUAAGGUAAGACUAUAAUUACAAACUAUAAUCCCAACAUUAAAUCUGUUGGAAGUAGUAUUAGUUGGAAAA
rnacentral:lncRNA from 1 species